rnacentral:piRNA from 1 species
UACAUCAUGAGCCUCACACAAGUGCCCAA